rnacentral:rRNA from 1 species
AUGAAAGCUACCAAUACGGGUAGGGCUACAUCAGAGCGCUCCAUUGGCAGAAAAAGGGCCCUCCUGUUCAAGUUAGACAUCGCAAAAGCUUUCGAUUCUAUCUCUUGGGCUUAUCUCCUGGAGCUAAUGCAAAAGCUGGGUUUUCCACCGAGAUGGCGCGAUUGGAUCGCACUCAUCUUAUCGCCGGCCUCCUCUUCAGUACUACUAAAUGGGGAUCCGGGCGAUCGAUUCUGGCAUAUGCAAGGGUUAAGGCAGGGCGACCCCCUCUCCCCCCUGCUCUUCAUCAUCGCAAUCGACCCGCUCCACCACCUGCUUGCUGCUGCAUCUGACCUUGGGGUCCUAGCGCCCCUGCCGGGCCGCGGCCAAAGCUUGCGGGUCAGCUUAUAUGCUGACGAUGCAGUUAUCUUCGCCAACCCAUCUGCGCAGGAGGUGGGCAAGCUGCUAGAGCUGUUGGAUAGUUUCAGAGAAGCCACCGGUCUGAAGCUGAACCAAAGAAAAUCUUCAGUUGUCGCAAUCUGCUGUGAGGAGCUGAACGUGCCGGAUCUACUACAGGGCUUCGGUGGUCAAAUUGUCAGUUUCCCAAUAACUUACCUGGGCCUCCCAAUUUCGCGAACUCGCCUCAGAAUGGUACAUUUCCAGUUCCUGAUCGAUAGGUUGAAAGCACAGCUGGCUAUCUGGAAGGGCAAACUCCUUAACAUUGCAGGGAGAAGAGUUCUCGUCAGAUGCGUCCUCUCUACUCUCCCAACUUUUGCGAUGACUACUCUGAAGAUACCGAAGAAGAUUCUGAAGGAAAUGGACAAAUCAUGA